AACGAACGCUGGCGGCAUGCCUAACACAUGCAAGUCGAACGAGACCUUCGGGUCUAGUGGCGCACGGGUGCGUAACGCGUGGGAACCUGCCCUUAGGUUCGGAAUAACUCCCCGAAAGGGGUGCUAAUACCGGAUAAUGUCUUCGGACCAAAGAUUUAUCGCCUUUGGAUGGGCCCGCGUUGGAUUAGCUAGUUGGUAGGGUAAAAGCCUACCAAGGCGACGAUCCAUAGCUGGUCUGAGAGGAUGAUCAGCCACACUGGGACUGAGACACGGCCCAGACUCCUACGGGAGGCAGCAGUAGGGAAUAUUGGACAAUGGGCGAAAGCCUGAUCCAGCAAUGCCGCGUGAGUGAUGAAGGCCUUAGAGUUGUAAAGCUCUUUUACCCGGGAUGAUAAUGACAGUACCGGGAGAAUAAGCUCCGGCUAACUCCGUG
rnacentral:rRNA from 1 species